GGUAAGGCCUUAUUAGGACCCGGCGGCUCCUGUGUGUUUUGCGUCUUUUGCAGACAUAAACAACCUUCUUCUGAUCUCUGUCGUGACUCUGCCACGUCAUUUUGAGUGCUAAUGUAACAUUGGGACUUGACAGACGUGAACUCACUUACCAAAUGGUUUGGUUUGCACGUCCUGAAUACUUCCUAGAAUGUGCGUCGUUUGAGGAAUGACUUGACAUGAAGAGGAAGUCUUUAGAGAAGUCUGGUGGUAUUCUUACUGAAAGUAGGAAUUGAAGGAAAGCAGACCUGCAUCAAGUUACUUGAACGGCGAAUGAGGAUGGAAGGGAAUUGAAGAGUUGAGGCAAUUCAGGAUAAUGAUGAAAAGACCUUGUUAUUACACACGAUUUUGCAGUUAAUUAAAUAAUUUUAAAAUCUUUUUAAGUUGUUAAAGUAUGGUGCCAGUUUACUCAAAUACUGGUCAAAGAGACAUA